GAAAUGCGAUAAGUAAUGUGAAUUGCAGAAUUCAGUGAAUCAUCGAAUCUUUGAACGCAUCUUGCGCUCCUUGGUAUUCCUUGGAGCAUGCCUGUUUGAGUAUCAUGAAGUCUUCAAAGUAAAUCUUUUGUUAACUCAAUUGGUUUCUACUUUGGUAUUGGAGGUCUUUGCAGCUUCACACCUGCUCCUCUUUGUUCAUUAGCUGGAUCUCAGUGUUAUGCUUGGUUCCACUCGGCGUGAUAAGUUAUCUAUCGCUGAGGACACUGUAAAAGGUGGCCAAGGUAAAUGCAGAUGAACCGCUUCUAAUAGUCCAUUGACUUGGACAAUACUUUUAUGAUCUGAUCUCAAAUCAGGUAGGACUACCCGCUGAACUUAAGC
rnacentral:misc_RNA from 1 species